AGCCGCUGCAUCCGGCCGCACUCGAGCCCGCACUCGCGCCCCACCCACCCACUCUGCUCUCUUCCCCGAUCCCCUCCCACGAACCCUAGCCUCCCGGUGCCGCCACCCCUCCCCCCCCCCCCGCGCCGCGAGCCCCUCCCUCCUCUUCGUGUUGCCGGCCGUCGCGGCGACGCAGAGUGGCCCAGAUGCGGCCGCCCCGUGGUUGGCUUCGACAAGCACGGCCUUGAUCCGGCCUCAGCAGGAAGACCUCGAGCCGAGGAGCGCGGCCUCGAUCGGGACUCGGCAUCUGGGGCGGCGACGGAGGAGGGGAAAGGAGGGGAGCAGCAGCCAGCAUCGGGACGGCGGCGGCGACUUGACUCCAUAAGCUGGUCGAGGUUGUUCAAGCAAGGCAGGUGGUGGGGUCAAGGGGCAGGGGAGGCGGGCGAAGAGGAUAAGAAGCAGCCGACCCGUCGCAAUGGUGUGAGGCUGCAGGGAAGAGGAAGGAGGACGACGACGGGAUGAAUGAGUAGGUCAGCCCUCAUGGAGACGGCGCCGCCGGCCAGGGGCGCUAUUGGCGCGCUGGAUGUCGUCCUUCUCAACCCGUGCUCGCCUCCCCUCGCUUCUGGCGCCCAGGAGCUCGAGUAGGAAGAGGAGACCUCGAUGGUCUGCGGCUCGUGGAGACCCGCGCAUCCUCUAACCUCGACAAGAUCAUGCAAUUCCUUUCAAUCCAUGGAACAGUGUGUGCGUUAGGCGAUAGCAAGGCCGUCGGACAAUCAUGAUGCUAUUUUCUUAUUUGAAAUCAGAAUGCUACUAGGACAUUCUUAAUUUUGGAAAAUCAGAUCAAACAAGAGAUAUGAUUGGUACCUGGUGAUACAAUUGGAGAAAGGGAUAUGAUAUGUCUGGCAAUGGUUUAGGAAGGUAUUCACUUAUCCGAAACAAAAGCAUAGAUUGUUAGGGACGAGGAUCAUCAGUGGCCAUGCAGGAGCAACAACAGGUGAUCAUGCCUAGUUCGUGAAUUUAUUCUCCUAGCUUGGAGGCUUCCUGCUCAAGGAGGGAGCAGCAGGCAUAGAAGAAAUCCCAAGUCAAUUUUGCUCAGCUGUAGCAUCUUCCACUGACAAUAAGUCUGCACAGCAGCCUGGUGAGGCUGAUGUUCUUGCUCAGUAUAAGCCAACAAUGGAGAAACUGACCAAGCUAUGUUUCAUGAUCAGUUACACAUCAAGCCUAUAUUUUUGCUGCUUCUACAUGUUGCUAUGAUGGUCAUUCAGCCCAUUUUCUUGAACCUGCACUACAACGAGAGAUCUGGGCUGCUUCUUUGUGGCUUCCAAACUUAAAAUGUUUGUUUGGAAGUUAGUUUAGUUUUUUGUUGUGGAUUCACAGCUUCUCACAUGUACCGUCCUCUUAGACCUUUAGAUUUUCAAAGAAACUAAAUGAAGAUAUGGUGGUAUGGUCUUAAUAAUACAACUUAAAGCCUUUCAUGCUUUA